rnacentral:rRNA from 1 species
GACGAACGCUGGCGGCGUGCUUAACACGUGCAAGUCGAACGGAAAGGCCCUGCUUUUGUGGGGUGCUCGAGUGGCGAACGGGUGAGUAACACGUGAGUAACCUGCCCUUGACUUUGGGAUAACUUCAGGAAACUGGGGCUAAUACCGGAUAGGAGCUCCUGCUGCAUGGUGGGGGUUGGAAAGUUUCGGCGGUUGGGGAUGGACUCGCGGCUUAUCAGCUUGUUGGUGGGGUAGUGGCUUACCAAGGCUUUGACGGGUAGCCGGCCUGAGAGGGUGACCGGCCACAUUGGGACUGAGAUGCGGCCCAGACUCCUACGGGAGGCAGCAGUGGGGAAUAUUGCACAAUGGGCGGAAGCCUGAUGCAGCAACGCCGCGUGCGGGAUGACGGCCUUCGGGUUGUAAACCGCUUUCGCCUGUGACGAAGCGUGAGGGACGGUAAUGGGUAAAGAAGCACCGGCUAACUACGUG